rnacentral:rRNA from 1 species
UGUCCGCUGUUGCCAUCAGGUUAUGCUGGGCACUCUGCGGAGACUGCCGGUGAUAAACCGGAGGAAGGUGGGGAUGACGUCAAGUCAGCAUGGCCUUUAUGUCUGGGGCUACACACGUGCUACAAUGGCCGGUACAAACCGUCGCGAGCCCGCAAGGGGGAGCUAAUCGGAGAAAGCCGGUCUCAGCUCGGAUUGCAGGCUGCAACUCGCCUGCAUGAAGUUGGAACCGCUAGUAAUCGCGGAUCAGCACGCCGCGGUGAAUACGUUCCCGGGCCUUGUACACACCGCCCGUCACAUCACGAAAGCUGGCUGUACUAGAAGUCGGUGCGCCAACCCGCAAGGGAGGCAGGCGCCUAAGGUAUGGUUA